rnacentral:rRNA from 1 species
UACGGAGGGGGCGAGCGUUAUUCGGAAUUAUUGGGCGUAAAGGGCGCGUAGGCGGCUGUACAAGUCAAAGGUGAAAUCCCUCGGCUCAACUGAGGAACUGCCUUUGAAACUGUACGGCUUGAGGCCGGGAGGGGGUAGCGGAAUUCCCAGUGUAGCGGUGAAAUGCGCAGAUAUCAGGAGGAACACCGGUGGCGAAGGCGGGUCUCCGGGCCGAUAUCGACGCUGAGGAGCGAAAGCGUGGGGAGCGAACAGG